CAAGAAAGUAUGAAGGGGCUUGGAAGAGGGGAAUGGACUAACACAGUAAAUAUGAAGCAACUAUAACUAUCACCCAUCUACAAAGAAGCCACACUCUUCACAGCAAAUGGAAACCAACACAGAAAACCACAGCUGGAUACAAUCCAGAGCUCAAUAUAUCCUGGUGAGCCCAGACCCAGUGGAUAUAUCUACAUCACAACUACUACAUCUGUUUCUCAGACAAUAUCAUGGGGAUGGGACAUAACACCAUGACGUCUGAUACAAAACUACUGCUCCUAGAAAUGUCUACCUCAACGACACCAGAAAAAUGGCAAGAACAAGACAUGUUAUUGUGAAAGGGAGAAAUUUUCACAGGGCACCACCCCUGGACAAAAAAUCUAUAGGUUAAUAAUGACUGCUUGGGGAAGGAGAGUUAGCUUCUCCCACAGGUGAGGCCUCUGGUUGGUUGCCUAAAGCAGGGUGGUCAGCCUUGAGACCAUAUACACGUCACCAAUAAAACAGACACAGCAA